GUUAUGGUGGCCUAGUGGUAAGAGCGUACGCAUUUGAUGUGGGAGGUCGUGGGUUCGAUCCCCGCCCGAGUUGAAACC